rnacentral:tRNA from 1 species
GAUCAGUUGGUAGAGCAUGGUGUUUGCAACGCCAGGGUUGUGGGUUCGAUUCCCAC